GCGCACUGCAACUAUGAGUUUUUUUUUGUCCAAAUUUGAUUGUCCGUUUUAUUUGAAAUUUUUUUAGAUUAGUAUUGUGUUGUUAUUGGAUGAUAAAUAAGACGAACCAUUCAAGUUAGACAUGAAAACUAAUGACGUCAAUUAAA
rnacentral:pre_miRNA from 1 species